UACGUAGGGUGCGAGCGUUGUCCGGAAUUAUUGGGCGUAAAGAGCUCGUAGGCGGUUUGUCGCGUCGACUGUGAACACCUGGGGCUUAACUCUGGGCCCGCAGUCGAUACGGGCAGACUUGAGUUCGGUAGGGGAGACUGGAAUUCCUGGUGUAGCGGUGAAAUGCGCAGAUAUCAGGAGGAACACCGGUGGCGAAGGCGGGUCUCUGGGCCGAUACUGACGCUGAGGAGCGAAAGCGUGGGGAGCGAACAGG
rnacentral:rRNA from 1 species